UGAUUGUCAGAUAUGGUGAUUUUUUUAAACCUAUUUGGUGCUUGUUUGUUUUUGUAUUUCUGUAACAAUUCUUGAGUUUUGUUCUGAGAUGCAGUUACAUUACCAGAAAAUGCAGUUACAUUACCAGUUUUGUUCUGAGAUGCAGUUACUUUACCUUUCAGGUCUUUCUUUUAAGAUUUGCUAGAGCAAAAGAUUUUUUAAGAAUGGAUCUGGAUCUAGAGCUACAUAUUCCCUACUACUCAGACAUGAUUCCUUUUUCUACUCUUUUCCAUGUCCUGUGAAUCAUGAUGUUCUCUGAACCUGGUUGGUGGGACAGGACACUGUUGCCUACUCAUCUGGAGCAUUGGAUACUUUACCUCUAAUGCUUUUGGACAGUGUUUUCCUUCACUUCAGAGAGUUUCCCCUUGCCUGUGUGCUGAGCACUAUCCAGCUGGAUGCUGUUGCACUCAGCAGAGGAGGGUUUCUCCAGUUCCCAGAGUUUUCUUUCUUCCUUCCUUCCUUCCUCCCUCCCUCCCUCCUUCUUCUUCUUCUUCUUUCUCUCCCUCUCUCUCUCUCUCUCUCUCUCUCUCUUUCUUUCUUUCUUUCUUUCUUCUUUAGUGUAGCCCUCUCCUUUCUAGUCUAGACUUGAUCUCCCCACUCUUACUCCAUCUUCUUACAGCAGAGAGUCUAACAUGCUCUACACUUUGCAGUUUGUCACCACAGCCUGGAAAUUCUCUGAAGGUUAAAGUCUGGGGAAGUGUUGGGGUUCACAUCACUUUUUCCUUCUCUCUCAAAGAUCACUCUUGGUCAGUGAUUGAUGUCCACUGUCUUGAAAACUGUUCUUUCAAAAGACAACACUGUUCCCUAUUGUUCUUAUCUGAAUGCCAAAGUCCACAGACUGUACUAAUUAGAAAAUUUAACUAUAGCAAAUAAAUUCUAACACCUCUUUAAAGAACAGUUCACUUCUUUCUUACACUGCUAAGUAUACUAUGCUUCUUGAUAUGGUGAUUUGGG
rnacentral:lncRNA from 1 species